AGACAUGUGACAAUGCAGCGACAUGUUUAUAUCCUUACGUGUCUUACUUCGCGGGAAUUGUGAUGUUUCUUCUUAUUGUGUACUUGACUAUUGUAUUUGGAAGAUGUGUAUGUGAUGAUUCAUAUUAAGUAAAAUGUAAUAAGUUUGAAAAACAACGAAUUUCUGCAACUGGGAACCAGACGAAAUAUUGCUAGCAUCCAUCUUUUAGUACAAUUGAUAUAUUUGAAUUACCGAUAUCAAUUUCACAUAUCAAUAUGGAGAACUCAUAGCGUUUGGAUCAAGUU
rnacentral:lncRNA from 1 species